GCCGGGGUGCCCGAGCGGACCAAGGGGACGGGCUGGAGACCCGUUCCCCCGUAUGGGGGGCGCGGGUUCGAAUCCCGCCCCCGGCGCCA
rnacentral:tRNA from 1 species